GCUGGAUGUGGUGGUGCAGGCCUGUAAUCCCAUCUGCUUGGGAGGCUGAGACAGGAGAAUUGAGAGUUUAAAGCCAGCCUCAGCAAAAGCAAGGCACUAAGCAACUCAGUGAGACCUUGUCUCUA
rnacentral:sRNA from 1 species